rnacentral:rRNA from 1 species
UACCGUGAAAAAAUUAGAGUGUUCAAAGCAGGCAGAUCCAAUUUUCUGCCACCGAAUACAUUAGCAUGGGAUAAUGGAAUAGGACCCUGUCCUCCUAUUUUCAGUUGGUUUUGGCAGCGCGAGGACUAGGGUAAUGAUUAAUAGGGAUAGUUGGGGGCAUUAAUAUUUAAUUGUCAGAGGUGAAAUUCUUGGAUUUAUGAAAGAUUAACUUCUGCGAAAGCAUCUGCCAAGGAUGUUUUCAUUAAUCAAGAACGAAAGUUAGGGGAUCGAAGACGAUCAGAUACCGUCGUAGUCUUAACCAUAAACGAUGCCGACCAGCGAUUAGGAGACGUUGAAUACAAAACACCACCAUCGGUGCGGUCGUCCUUGGCGUCGGUCUUUCGGGGCCGGCGCGGGGACGGCUUAGCCCGGUGGCACCGGUGAAUGA